rnacentral:rRNA from 1 species
GUCUAUGGCUAUGCCACCCUGAAUACACCUAAUGUCUGAUUUGGAAAGCUAAGGAGGGUCAGGCCUGGUUAGUACUUGGAUGGGAAACCACCUUAGGAAGACCAGGUGCUGUAUGUA